UUGUCCCUCUUUAUCUUUCUUCCUUGGGGCAUGUAGAUACGGUAAAUUUUUCACCGGAAGACUUGUCACCUUUCCUUUCACUUUUCUCUUCUUCUGAUUUUUUGACGCCCGCUCAUAAUUCACAUUUCUCUCCCUCUCUUCUUUCUUAUUUUGUGUACUUUCAACUAAUGUUUCCUUAUUAUUCUUUUCUUCUAACUCUUCCUC
rnacentral:lncRNA from 1 species